rnacentral:lncRNA from 1 species
AAGACAGCUAAUCCACCGUCUUCUACCUUCCCUCCUUACUCUACCUUCUACUAUCUUCACUACUAUACCAUCCUCGGAAAAGCUUCAACCGGAAACACAACACUCCAACCCUACCUGAAACCCGACACUCGAACCUUAGAAAAACCCACCUUCCAAACCACACUCUAAUCCACUUCUACCCUUUCAUACUAACACUCCCCUUUCUUCCUAGUUAGUGUAUGUAGGUUUACUGGUUUUUCUUCGUUUUGGUAUUCAGUUCUGUUAUUUGUGCUGGGUGUUCGUUUUAAUUUCCGCCGGCUUCAAGAUUACUGGUAUGUUCUGUUUUUCUGCGGUUCAGUUUAGUUUCUAUUGAUUCGUCGGCUCUCGCUGCUGCUUCUUCGCGUUUUUGGUGUUCGUGUUUCUGGUGCUCGUCUUGUUUUCGUUUAUUGUGUUUCUGCUAAGCUCUCGCUGGUGCUUCAUCGCGUUUCUGGUGUUCUUGUUUCUGGUGUGCGUUUGUGUUUCCGUUUCUCCGUGUUUCUGGCAUUCUUACCAAAUAAGUCUUGUUGUACCGGUGUUCUGUUUAGUUCCAGUGAUUCGUCUGCCCUCUAUUCAUGAUCUUGGCGUUUAUGGUGUUCGCGAUUCUGGUUUGCUUGUAUUUGUUUCAGGUUCUCCGUGUUUCUGCUAUCCUAAACAAAUCUGUCCUGUUCUCCUUGCUUUUGUCUUCGAUAAUUUGUUAUUUUUCAAAAGAUCUGCUGAGGACACAUUAGUUUCCCUUAUUCGCUCUCAUUCAGUACUAAUGUUGACUUUUUUAGAAAUUUUUAUUGUGAUGUUUUUUCUUUUAAUGUACAGAAAAUUAAAUUUGAUUGGGUUGAGUAAGAUAAUUAAAUUUGAUGUCUCUAGGAACCCAAUAGAUAGUAGGUUGAAUAAGGAUGAAGAAAUCCAGUAACUCAGUUUGAUUGGAACCCAGGAUGAAGAAAUCCAGUAACUCAAUUAGAUUGGAAUCUAGUAGGUUGAUUUAUCGUAUUUCUAUUAUUAGGUUGAAUAAGGAUGAAGAAACCCAGUAUUUCAAAUCUUCUUCCUGGGUAAAGCUAUUAUUAACACAGAACAAAAACAUCGG